rnacentral:lncRNA from 7 species
UAGGGCCUGCAGGCUGUGACACAAACACUGCAUCACGCUGUGCACUAUGUUCAUGCCUAUAUUCUGCUGUGGCUUCUUUUUUUUUCUUAAACCAACCACCAAUAAAAUAUGAAAAUAAUGAAGAGGAACACAUGGGAGAAGAACGCAUCAAGCCGAAGCCCUGCUGCCUGGGGCACGCAGUGACUCUGGCCGCGAUGUCCUGUUGUGCAGCGCACGGUGCUCUGCAGCCACUGCUGGGCUGAAAAGCCACAGCAGGCUUGGUCAUGUUUAGAAGGCUGAUCCUCACUCUUCAUUCUGCAGCCUCAGUCACGCUUUCUGCCUCGGCCCCUUUACCUGGUUGAGGCUCCUGGCCUGUGGGAGCAGCUGUGUGCUGUGGAGGUCCCCCUCCUGCACGCAGGAACACCAGUAAUGCCAUGUGGGAGGCAGCUGCACCUUCCUGUGCAUCUGCCUUUGUGUCUCCCUUGUACCCUGGAGUGGCACGUCCUCUGGUUUCAUUUUUUCCUGUCAAGCACACAUAGCACUGAAGUUUGUGGGUGCUGUAGCAGGCACUGUAAUAGCUGUAGUGAGAAUUACUACUGAUGUCUUAUUUCUAAUUUUUUUUUUUUAAGAAAAUGAGGCAUGUGCAGGCUUUUGUCUGACAGUCUGUUUGGCUGUCUGUCAAGCUCCAUUAGGGGAUUUGAUCAGCACUGUGGUCAGACAGGCCCUUCUCAUCUUUCACAUGGCAUUAGAAAUCAACAUAAUUUUCAAACAAUAUUUUACAGUAUUUAAUAAUAAAUUGUUUUUAUCAUGCCUCUUGGUUGCCAUAAUCUUGUAUCAGUUAAAUGGAUCCCCUUGUGCUUGUCAGGCCUGCUAUGCCACAUAUUCUUGAUUUUGAAGAAGUUUCAAAGGGUUGGGGCUUUGUUAUUACUUUCUUUGUUGCUGUUGGGUUCUCAUAUGUAUGCUUUGUGUUCCAGAAUGAUGUUUCUGUUUGCAGAUUUACACUGCUUUGCUUACAAUCUGAACUGAUACUUAGAACUGAGUAAUAAAUUUAGAAAAUUGUUUUUAAGU